UCAAAAACAUGUCUUUUUGAUAAUAAUUUAAAGUUUAGUUUGCCCACUGAUAAAAUUAUUAAAGGGCUGCAGUAUAUUGACUGUACAAAGGUAGCAUAAUCAUUAGUCUUUUAAUUGAAGACUUGUAUGAAAGAUUUGAUGAAAUAUAUACUGUCUCUAAUUUAUUAAUAAAAUUUAAUUUUUUAGUUAAAAAGCUAAAAUAAUAUUAAAAGACGAGAAGACCCUAUAAAGUUUUAUAAUUUAUUUAUUUAAUAUUAAAUAUAUAAUUAAAUAUAAUAAUUAAUAUAAAUUAUUUUAUUGGGGUGAUAAAAAAAUUUAAUUAACUUUUUUUUAAAAAAAACAUAAAUAAGUGAAAUUAUGAUCCAUUAUUAAUGAUUAAAAGAAAAAAUUACUUUAGGGAUAACAGCGUAAUAUUUUUUUUUAGUACAAAUAAAAAAAAAAGUUUGCGACCUCGAUGUUGGAUUAAGAUAAAAUUUAAAUGCAAAAGUUUAAAAUUUUGAUCUGUUCGAUCAUUAAAAUCUUACAUGAUCUGAGCU
rnacentral:rRNA from 1 species